rnacentral:rRNA from 1 species
AGUCUAGCCUGCCCGUUGAAGAUUUGAAAGGCCGCGGUAUUUUGCCCGUGCGAAGGUAGCAUAAUCAUUAGUCUUUUAAUUGAAGGCUUGUAUGAAGGGUUGGACGAGAAAUAAGCUGUCUUUAUUGAAAAAAUAGAAUUUAACUUUUAAGUGAGAGGGCUUAAAUGUUCUAAGGGGACGAUAAGACCCUAUAAAGUUUGACAUUUUAUUCAUUAAAAAAUAAAAUAAAUAAUUAAUUUUUAUUAGUGAGAUAAUGUUUUGUUGGGGCGAUUAGAAUAUAAAAAAUUUAACUGUUUUAUAUUAAUACAAAGUUGUUUGAGUGUUUUGAUCCUUAAUAAAGGUACUAGAGUAAAUUACUUUAGGGAUAACAGCGUAAUUUUUUUUGAGAGUUCUUAUCGACAAAAAAGUUUGCGACCUCGAUGUUGAAUUAAAGAAUUCUUUAUAGCGCAGAAGUUAUAAAAGAAGGUCUGUUCGACCUUUAAAUCUUUACAU